UCCCUGUCAGUCCAGUGGUUAAGACUCUACGCUUCUAAAGCAGGGGACACAGGUUCGAUCCCUGGUCAGGGAA
rnacentral:tRNA from 1 species